rnacentral:lncRNA from 1 species
UUGGAACGUUAUACUAAUUUCGUGAGAUGUUACGUAACAAGCUAAACUAAAAAAAUUAAAUUAAAAAAUAAAUAACUAAAAAUCAGUAUGCAUACGUAUAAAAAUUACAUUUUGAAACACAUUUGUAUAAAAAUUUAUAACAUCUAUGAAUAAUUAUAAACUAUCUAAGAAACGGGACGGUUUUGCUCGGCGUAUCUCUUGAUCAUAGCUGAAAUCGCUGGUUUGCCUGCGAGCUCCAGUUGGUGCAUGUAUUGGUCGAGGUGUGCGCGUCUCGGGUCGUCGUCGUCCCAACCAUCCUGGAAUGAUUCAAAUCGGAGAAAGCCAUCGCCCACAGGGAUAAGCUGGUCGUCAGUGAUGUUGUUGGCUUUAGCCAUCUGUUUGCUGAAGACUUUGGGGGUAGAUAGUGUGAUAAGCAAACCCUUGGAGGCAAGGCGCUUGCCGAGUCUUAGUAGAGGGUUUACAUGGCCUUGGGCUGGAAAUGAAACAAGAAACGCAUGAAGCAGAGGUUCAGUACUCAUUCUACGCUUAAAAGAAGAGAAAGAUGCGAAUUAUCUAUUGAGCAAUGUAUGAUGAGUGAAAUGGGAGUGUGUAUAUAUAUACACACACAUAAUGAUUUAUUUCAAGAUGUAAUAAAAAUUUAUAUAUAUAUUUUUGUAAUUUUUACAUUUUCUAAUUUUUUUAUAAAUUUUACAAUAAUUUUCAAAUUUCUAAUAUUUUUAUAACUUCUUAUAGUUCAUUUAAUAAUUUUUUUUAUUUUUUACCAUUUUAAAAAAAAAUUCUAGCAUAUUUUAAAUUUUUUUAAACAAUUAUAUUUAUUUAUUUGGAUCUCCACUCAUAGGAAUGGAGUACAUUUUAUGAUCAACCGUUUGCCUUUUCGGAGAGCACUUGCAACUAGAACAUUAAUUAUUAUUGUCGGUUAUGAUACCCUAACAAUGACAAUAUUUAUAUUUAUAAUUUAUUUAUUUUUUAAUUUUAAUUUUUUUUAUAAUUUUAAAGGUUUUUUAGGUUUUUUUGGAUGAUGGCAUCAUUGCAACAUCAGUGUAGGCCACAGAUAAUUUUAUGAUUGGUUGGAUAUCACAACAUUUUAUUUUUUUUAACGUCCAAAGGACUAAACCAAAAACUUUUGAUAAAGUUAAAGAUUGAACUGAGAAUAUUUAAUAAUGUUAGGGAUUGAAAUAAGCCAAUUUAGGGGACAAAUAGACAUGUCCAUAGGUUGGGCCCCUCGGCCGGGCUCGAAGGUCAACUCAAAAAGUGAGAGAGUUUGGGUAAAAAUAUAUGCCCAAAAAAUAGGCUUGAGCAAAAAAAAAGGCUCAUUUAAAAAAUGGGUCACGCCUUGAGUAAGGCUUUUUAAUUUGUCCCUGAGCCUGGCCUGGCCUGGCCCGAAUAUGUAAAAAAAAUAUAUUAUUUCUUUUUACUGUUUUGUUGCUAUUUUCUUAUUGUUUUUUUCUCACUAUUUUGUUACCAUUUUACUGUUAUGUUAGCUACUAUUUUGUUAUUAUUUUGUUAUAACUAUUGUUUUAUUGUUGAUUUUGUUAAUAUUUUAGAGACAUUUGUUUGUUAAGUUGCGCUUAUCUUAGUGUUAUUUAAGUAUAUAUAUUUUUUAAUUUAUUUUUAAUUUAUUAGGAAACAUUUAUUUUAAUAUUUUUAAUAUUUUGAUGUAUUAUAUUUUUUUAAAAAUUAUAUAAAAAAAUAAAUACGGGUGCCCCGAGCCCUGAAUUUAACAUUUUUAUCUAGGCUGGGCUUGGACAAAAUUUUAGACCCAUUUUUAAGCCGGACCCAAACCUAAAAAACGAGCCUAAAAUUUUUCAUUGGGCUCGAUCCAUGAAUACCUCUAUGACAAAGGAAGAAAAGAUGUAUACGUCAAAAACUACAGGUUGCAUUAAACUUCUCUUAAUAUGAGAUUAAUGUACUUACCUACUUUUAAAGCCACAGAAUGGAAAAGAGAGAAAAUUGGCAUUUUCAACUCCACUUAUUAACGAAGAGACGUAGGGAUAUGACUGGGUGAAAACCAUUUUUUUCUCCCAAAGGAUACAUAGUUGAUGUUUCUGGAUACUAUGCGUAUGUGUGUUCCAUUCUUCAGGUGGGAUAAAAUGACAAAUAUAAGCUCAAUUAUCAACUUCAAUCAGCUUCUUAAGACAUAUUUAUGUAUCUGUUAUGUUACGUAUGUAUGAUAAUAGAUUCUUAAGGUUUCUCUACGUAAGAUGCGAGCAUAUUGGAGUAUAUUACAAAUUAGGCCAUUGAGACAGCGAUGUGGUUAAGUAAUUUCAAUAAAGUUUUGGUGAUCGAGCUGCUUAAAUCAUCGAUUCAUCAAUUUAAUUAGUAACAAAAUUAAUGGAUUACGAUAAUUACAUAAUUCAAAGAUUAAGGUACGUGGAUAGUAUGAAUUAUAAUCUAAAUUGCUUAUCAAGUGAAUAAAUACAUUUAAAUUUAAAUUCACUGAAGCGCAUAAUAUCCUUUACUUUAAACUUAAGUUUGUUUACUUUAGUCAUAUAUAUAUUUAGUGGUGGAGCCACUAUGAGACCCAGGGGUCAUGACCCCUCAAGGUCUAAGAAUUUUCAAUUUUUCCCUUAUGGCCCUCUUAAAUAUUAAAGUAGGUCCCUUCAAUAUUUUUAUACUAUUAAAAUAAUAUUAAAAAAUUAUAAGUAAAAUGUUCAAAUCAUCUAAAAUUGCAGAAUCUAUCCAUAAUUUUUUUUAUCUUUGUCAAGUAUUAACAGAGACACAGAUGUUAAAGAUAUAUUAAGGACUAUAAAAUCUCAUAAUUUUCGAUAGUGUGUUUCAUAUUAUACAAAGAUGAAACUUUUUAACUAAACUCUCAGGUUUGAUGUUGUUUUUUUUCUUUUUAUUAAACAAAUUUUCACUUAAAAUGAUGUGUUUCAUGUUAUACAAUUAUAGGUACUUUGGAUGUUUUAAGUAAACACUCAAAUCACCUAAAGUCUUCAUUAUAGGAGUUGGUUUUCUACAUGCAUGUGGGCAGCCUUUUGGUGUAGUCUGUUUUUUUGUAAGUUUUCAUAUUAUUUUGGUGUUAUAUAUGCCAUAAAUAGUCUUAUAGUUGGGCUUUAUUUAAGUGGUUGAUAAAUAAUUAAAAGGGUAAACUAUUAAAGUAGUCACUUUUGUUUAUCUCAGAUUAUAUUUCAGUUACUUAUAUUUGAAAUAUUAUGUUUUAGUCACUUACGUUAACGUGUUGUAGCAUUUUAGUUACGGAGCCGUUAAUUGUCGUUAAUGGUGUAAUGGUAAGUUGGCGUAGCACAUUAAAUUAUCAUUUCAAACAAAAAUUUUAGGUUAAAUUCUACAAUUAGUCCCCAUAUUUUUUCGUUUUGAACAAUUUUUUUUCUUUUAUAUUGUUUUAAUUAUCCUUUUUUUCUUUAUUUUUCAUUCUCUUCUGCUUCUUCCUCUGUUCUCUAUCUCUUUUAAUGUAAUUUUUCUAUAUUUUUCAUUUUUUAAAACUAAAGGGGAAAAAGAAAAAAAUUAAAUUGUUCAAAAAAACAAAAAGUAUAGGAACUAGUUUUAAAAAAUAAAAAACAUUAAAAAAAACUACGUUAAAAGAGAUGAAGAAGGGAAGAAAACAAAUGGAGAAGCAGAAAAGAAUAAAAAAAAAGAAAAAAAAGUUAAAAACAUAUAAAUGGAAAAAUAAAAAACAUAUUAACAUAAGUGACUAAAACAUAAGAUUUUAAACAUAAAUGACUAAAAUGUAAUAUGAGGUAAACAAAAGUUACUAUUUUGAUAAUUUACCAGAAUUAAAAAUAUUAAAAAUUCAGAACAAAUUGAUGGUUGAAUUUCCAUAGUAACAUCUUAUUUUGAUUUGUGAUGUUUUUACUUAAAAUUUUAGACGUUCUAUUUUUUUUUUAUAUAGGUAAUCGAUUUUUGUUGGAUUGAGUGAUAAAAAAUUUAAUUUUUAUUUUUAAAUAAAAAUUUCGGUAAAAUCUUCAUUAGGUUUGAUAAGAGGUUUCAUCACUAGAAGCAAGUGAGAAAACAAACAUUUUGAGUACUAUGAUUACUACUAUGUUUCCAUUAGGUUCUAGCCUACGUCUCUCAUUGAGGGUAUCCAGCGUACCUUAUUAUUGCACCCAACACUUGUUGGUUCAUGAAACUUUCUUUGUUAAUAUGACUUUUGUCAUUAGUAACAUAUAUUGAAACUACUACCCAACGUAUUAAUUUGCCGUCCAAAAUCUUUCGAUAUUUUAUAAUCAUUUAGUUUUCGAUUACAUUUAGAGCUAGACCAAAAUCAAAAUCUUAAACAGUAAAUAAAAUAUAUAUUUAGCAAAAAUAUAUAAGGUUUAGAAACUUGAAAUAAGAUUUAAAUAUGGAUGAAAAAAUAUAAAUUAUUAUAUAUAUUAAGCACAUUUAUAAAUUAAUAUAUUUAGCAAAGGGUAUAAAUUAUGUUAGGAUGAUUUUAAAAUAUUUAAUUUUUAGGUACGGAUAAAAUGGUAUUGCAUUAUUUACCUUUAAUAUCUUCUCUAAUUUAACUUUAAUUAAUUAAAAAAAGCUUAAUUUUAAUUAAAUUAUUAAAAAAAUUAAAUAAAUAAACAGAUACUUUACUUAUUUUAUAAUUUUUAAACCAUUUUUAAUUUUUUUCACCUUAAAGAAAUCAUUAUUUUUUUAAAUUAAUGAUUGGUUUCGAUUUUUAUUUUCACUUUUUUUUCUUAUAAUUUUUUUAUAAAUUUUUUGAAUGUUUGCUUGUAAAAUUUUGAAUAUUCUCUAAUACUAAAUUAUUUUUUCAAACCAAAUCCUAACGUAAUUAACCCAAGUUAAACUAUAGCAACCAGUACAAUUUACUUACAAAUAACUUAACAUGCAUACAUGUAAAUGGAAAAGCUAUGGUUAGAUAACUAUAUUUAUUUCUGUUCUUUUCAAUCAUCAUUACAUUACCUUACGAAACAUCCAUAUAUCACAGCUCAACUAUCUCCACCUCGGUCGGUGAGUGCUUAUUCACAAAAUUCAUAGUAGCUGCAUCAAUGUCGUCCACGUGAUUCAUUGUCAUGCUCGUGCAUCUCCUUCUGACGUCAUUAAUAAAGGCCUGUAUGUUCCUAUCAGAGGACCCGCCACUUGCCAUUGCUGCCUCCGCCGCCGCCUUCCACUUCAAGGCGUUGCGCUUCAAAUCCUUUGCCUUCGGCCCCACUGUUGCUUCCACAAAGCAUUUCGCCACCUCCUCCUUUGGAAUUAUCCUGUUUUCUGCCUCUCCACGGCCCAUUCUCACCCCGGUCUUAAACACGUCAACCAAAUAAACAGCGUUCGUCACUUGAUCGCCCCAUUGAGGGAACGCAACGAUGGGCACACCACAUGAUAGUGCCUCCAUCGUCGAGUUCCAACCGCAAUGCGACACAAAGCAGGAAACCGAAGGGUGAAUCAGCACUUUAUCUUGUCGACUCCAUUGCACGACCUUGCCAUUGUCACCCACUUUCUCCAAGAACCCUUCAGGCAAAGUGUGGAUUGGAAGGCCAUACUCCUUUGCCGGCGGUUUCAUCACCCACAAGUAUGAGAUACCAGUGGCUAACAGCGCUUCAGCUAUUUCAUCCACUUGUUCUUGUUUCAAGUAAACAACAGUACCAAACGAGAUAUAUAUCACUGACGCGGCCGGUUUCGAGUCGAGCCACUCGAUGCAGUCAUCAGGUUUCAUGAUGUCACAACGGAUCGUGUUGUUUGGUACUUCGGGGUACUUGAACAAUGGACCAACAGUCUUUAUAAGGCAAAACUUGGACAUGUAUUCAACGAUUUCAGGCUCGAGUUCUUGGAAAGUGUCCAUCAAUACACAAAAUUGCUUAUCAAGUUUCUUAAAUUGACCAAGAAUGGCCGUCCUCAAGUAAGCAAAAGGAGUUGAAGGGUGCAAAAAGCUAGGAACUUCAUCGUGCUUGAGAAGCGGCAUGGACGGCAACUGAACAUCAAAUUCAGGAUCAGUUUCAGUAGGAAACGUCACUAACCAAUGAUUGUAAUGGUAAUAGGCGGCGAAACACGCGCAAGACUGCACCCAAAGCAUUGCAGAAGGGAUGCCGAGACUUUCAGCAACAUCAGAUGCCCAAGGAAUGAAAGGGUUGUUGAUGAAGCAAGAAACGGGGCGGUUUUGCUCGGCGUAUCUCUUUAUCAUCGCUGAAAUCGCUGGUUUGCCUGCGAGCUCCAGUUGGUGCAUGUAUUGGUCGAGGUGUGCGCGUCUCGGGUCGUCGUCGUCCCAACCAUCCUGGAACGAUUCAAAUCGGAGAAAGCCAUCGCCCACAGGGAUAAGCUGGUCGUCAGUGAUGUUGUUGGCUUUAGCCAUCUGUUUGCCGAAGCCUUUGGGUGUAGAUAGUGUGAC